GAGCCGAGACCAUGCCACUGCACUCCAGCCUGGGCGACAGGGCGAGACUCCGUCUCAAAAAAAAUUCUGGAGCUUCACUAGUUGGAGAAGCACUGGGCCAGAUUCUGGUGCCUGGCCCAGCCCAAAGAGCUCCCCACAGUGGGAGUCAAAACCUUGUGUUACAAGCCCUUCUGUGGGUUCAGACAGGGGCUUUCCAUGAGCUUCUGAGACACAAGCAGACAGGCCAGAGGAUUACUGGACAGUCUGAGAAAACCCUCUAAUAUUAGUUCAAGAUCCAGACCAAUUAAAUCAAAAAAAGUAAUUUGUUAGAAACUGAGACUAUGUACUAAGACAAAACAUUUUUUUUUUUGAGACAGAGUUCCACUCUUGUUGCCCAGGCUGGAGUGCAAUGGCACGAUCUCAGCUCACCACAACCUCCACCUCCCAGGUUCAAGCGAUUCUCCUGCCUCAGCCUCCCUAGUAGCUGGGAUUAUAGGCAUGUGCCACCACACCAGGCUAAUUUUGUAUUUUUAGUAGAGACAUGGUUUCUCCGUGUUGGUCAGGCUGGUUAUCGAACUCCCAACCUCAGGUGAUCCACCCACCUCGGCCUCCCAAAGUGCUGGGAUUACAGGCGUGAGCCACCGCGCCCGGCCAAGACAAAACAUUUAAAACUCAUUGAUUUCUAGGGAUAUAAGAAAUAAGAACAGGAUGCCACAAAAAGGGAACAUCAAAAGAACAAAAAGAACUCUAAGAAAUAAGAAAACAUAACCAAAAAGGGGCAACAGAAGGGCUAUAAGGUAAAGGUGAAAUAACCUCUCAGAAAAAAACAAAACACAGAGAUGAAAAAUAGGAGAAACAAGGUAAGAAAGAAGAGCAAUCUAGGAGGUCUAACAUUUGACUAACAGGAGGGCAGGAAGAGAGUACAAAGGGGAAGGAAAUCAUCAAUAAAAUAACUUUUUAAAGUACUGAGCUGUAGGAAAUCAGUUUCCAGGAUGAUAAUGUCCACCAAGUGCUCAGUGUAAGGUACGCAGGCAUAUCAUUGCAAAGAUUCCUAACAGUAGAGACAAAAUCCAGUUUCUAAAUAGAAACAAAAAAGGUCAGAAAACAAAGGAUUAGAAAUCAAAUGACUUUAGAUUUCUCAGCAACAGUAACAGAUGGACAAAGACAAAGGGGCAAUACCUUCGAAUUCUGGCAUAAAGCUUUCAACCGAGAAUUCUACAUUUUGCCAAGGGUCUAGGUAUAAGGGUAAAAUGAAGACAUGCAAAAUCUCAAAAUUUACCUGCCAGACAUCCUUCCCCAAGUUGUUACUAUAAGAUAUACUCCAGCAAAAUGAAAGAAUAAACAGAGAGAGAGAAAGACAUGACAUAAUAUGCAUUGGGAGAUCAAAUGGAGGAGAGAGAAGUAAAUAAUAUCCCCAAGAUGACAGUAAAGGGAAAUACCAGGAUAACAAACAGUUGGACCACAGAUCACAUGCUCCUGUCAGUCCAAAGACAAGACAUCUUUGACAUCAAAAGACACACUGAGGACUUCCAUCACCAAAAACGUCACUGACACUGUACCGUCUUUUCAACCAUUGGACAGAAUCCCCAGGUAAGCCUGGCCCAGAUUCUCAUCUGUAUUUGGCUUGUAUUGACAUAAACUCAUGAUGUUCCUGCUUUUCCCUCCAUACCUUUAUAUCCAGAUCAACUGCAUGGUGAGCUUAGAAACCAAAAUUACAGAGUAGCCUCUCUCAGACAUCCACUAUCUGGUCUAUACUCUGAGCCUGCCAGAUUCUCUGCUUACAGUGGGCCCUAAGGUUGCUAGGAUUCACUCAUGAUUUACCUAGACUUCCCCAAAAGUGGCUCUGAUAAACUCCAGAGAAGCUAAAACCAGACUAUGAUCCAGGUAUGCUGUUACCUUAACUUCUCCUGGGAGCCUUCAUCUACUAGUGGCACUGUUACCUUUUCACUGUAUAGCCAGAUUUAGGCUUGCUACCAAAUUUUCAAAACUAAACAAUUUGGUGUUUAUAGUCACCAAAAUACCAAAAGUCAGAAUGGUAGUUUCAUAUUUGUUAGGAGCAGAGAGGAGGAUAUGACCAGAGAGAACACAAUGAGGGUAGAGGAAAGGAGCUUCUGUUUCUUAAAUAGUUGGUAUGCAGAUAUUUGUUUUAUCUUUAAACCACAUACAUAGUGUGCAUUUUGUCCAUAAACACAUUUCAUAAUAAAAAUAAAAACAAGUUACAAACUAGGCAAAAGACCCAAAGAAGAAAGUCACAGAGGAAUAUAAGUGAAAACAUGCCCAACUUCACUAGAAUUCAAAACAAAUAAAAACAAGAAAACUUCUGCUAAUCAGAUUGCAAAAGAUGUUACAUAUUUCUAAUACCUAGUGUUGGUCAGUGAGGAAAAAAAGGCACAGUAAUAUACUAAUGAUGGAGAUAAAAGCUGGCAUGACCUUUAUAAAGAACAGUUUGCAAUACAUACAUAAAGAGUCUGGAGAAAAGGCAUACAACUUCUGAUUCACUUCUAGAAAUGCAUCCUAAAGCUAAUAAUCAGAAAUAUUAUUUGUGCCAUCGUUUAUAAAAUCACAAAAUUAAAAAUAAGUGUCCACCAAUAAAUGAUGAUUAAAUCAAUUACAGUAUUGUAAGGGAAUAUUAUGCAAUUUAAAAACCAAUACUGUAAACUCACAUUUAUUAACACAAUGAUAUCUAACAUACCUUAAGUGAAAAAAAAAUAAACAGUAGACAUAUAGAGUUUAAUUUGUUCAAAUACUGAUAGAUGGAUAGAAAAUGGAUAAACAAAUGCGUCAAAAGUUAAAAGUCAAGAAGAAUACACAUACAAAAAUGUUCCUAGUGAUCACUGGUUACUCUUAGGUCAGUGUUUCAUAAAAUGCUGUCUUAGAUCACCAUGGCCUCCACACUGGCAUACUACCUUAUGAUAGCACAAGCAAACACCUUACAUUUGGACUUUGUGAGAACAGCAAUCUUUUUGUCUCUAGACUGCAAUUUUAUGAAACUUUAUGAAAAAGUGGCAUGAUGCAAAUUCUCAAACAAAGCAAGUGAUUUCUGUGGUAAACCAACUGAGUUUUUCUUAAACUCAAAAUAAUAUACUUGCUGCCAGUAUAAAACAGAUCAAUGUUGACACUAAAGGUGAAGAAGAGAUCAAAACAAUACAGGUAUCAUUCAAUUCUGUGUUCUCCAUAUCAACACACACGUACCCAGUCAUACCACUGCAGAGAACACUUUAACACAAGCGUCAAAGUUAAUGGUAAACACUCAAGAGAAUGAUGAAUUAUGUUACUGAAUUUCAUUCAUGCUAUAUAAAUUCAUGCUAUAAGAGAAGUGUUUUUAGUCGGUUUAUUUAACAAUUAAUUUGUGAGGAAUGAGGCUACCUAAAAAGUAAUGGGAAUUAAUACAACCAGAAUAGCAGUUAUGUAUGCAGUGUUGUUACAUAAAUAAAAAGAUGCGACCAGGAGCGGUGGCUCACGCCUUUAAUCCCAACACUUUGGGAGGCCAAGGUGGGAGGAUCACCUGAGGUCAGGAGUUCAAGACCAGCCUGACCAACAUGGUGAAACCCCAUCUCUACUAAAAAUACAAAAAUCAGCCGGGUGUGGUAGCGCAUGUCUGUAAUCCCAGCUACUCGGGAGGCUGAGGCAGGAAAAUCGCUUGAACCCAGGAGGUGGAGGUUGCAGUAAGCUGAGAUUACGCCACUGCACUCCAGCCUGGGCGACAGAGCGAGACUCCAUCUUAACAACAACAACAACAACAACAAAACAUACAUGUAUUUUAUACGAAAACAAAUGGUAUUCAACUAAUAUGUUUCCUGAUCUUGAUACUGUUAAAAGAAAUACUAAAAAUUGUAACACCAACCUAAUUUUGCCUAUAUAUUUAUUUCUAUAUGCUAUACAAAGAAAUGAAUAGCAACUAUAAUGUUGAACAAUUUUUGCAAUAUGCAGCAUAUUAUUCUUUAAUAAAGUGCUGAAUUUCAUCUGACAAAGUGUUAUUUAGAAUUUUUUUUUUUUGCUAUCUGUAACAGUUUUGGUAGUGGUAUUACAGAGGAUUUGUAAAAUGGAUUGGAGUACUUACCACUAUUUCAUCUGCUCUGAAAUAGUUCACUAACCAAACUACUGACAACAGUUUAAUUUUUGUUCUUUCCUUAAAAUUAUACAGACUGCACCAAGAACACCAUAUGGACCUAGUAACACUUCAGAUUUUUAGACCUUACAACCUUUGCAAGUUCUUCUAUGAUUUCUGGGCUCUUUAGAUUUUCUACUGCUUGAGUCACUUUGGUAAUUUAUAUUUUCCUUGAAAAUACUCAAUUUUGUUUACUCACAAAAACCUCACUUUUAAGAAUAUCCUCCCCCUCAACCAAAAAAGCAUAACAUAUAAAUAUGGAUAUAUCAGUAUCACUUAAAUGCCCAGAAUAGGAAAAUUAUAAAAUUACGGAACAUCCACAUGAAAUUAUACAGAAAGAAGUAUGUGUACUGAAUUGACUUGGAACAGUAUUUAUUCCAAGCAAUUUUUUUUUUAAUUUUUAAAAAGGAAGUUGUAGGCUGGGCAUGGUGACUCAUGCCUAUAAUCCUAGCACUUUGGGAAGCCAAGGUGGGUGGAUGGCUUGAGCUGAGGAGUUCAAGACCAGCCUAGAAAACAUGGCGAAACCCCAUUUCUACAAAAAAUACAAAAAUUAGCUGAGCAUGGUGGCAUGCACCUGUAGUCCCAGCUACUCGGGAGGCUGAGAUGGAAGCAUUGCUUGAGCUUGGGAGGUCAAGGCUGCAGUGAGCCGUGAUCAUGCUACUGCACUCCAGCCUAGGUGACACAGCGAGACCUGUCUAAAAAAACAACAACAAAGGAAGCUGCAGACUGAGGCACAGAAUACAUUUUUAAAUUAGGAGAAAUGAUCCUUGUUUUCAUGCUAAGAGGAAAGAUCUUAUAAGCAUAUGUGCGUAUAAGCACAGAUCUGCAGAAGGAUAUCCUCCAAACUACUGACAAUAGUUUAAUUUUUUUAAAAGAAAUGACAGCAUGGUAUAGCAAAAAACAAACCAGAAAACCAAAUCAAUAGGAGAAAAAUCAUCAGCUCUCCUAAGAACCCUGACUGAAACCAAGAGGGCAAUGUCACCACCACAAGCCUUUAUGAGGUCUGCCUAUAUAUUCCUACUCUUGAAUUCCAGGAAAUCCUGUAUCCUUAAAAUAAUCCCCCCUUUCAACAUAAGCUAGCUCACAUUGGUUUCUACUGCUUGUAAUCAAAGGCUUCUUACAUACUACAGAAAGUUGACAAAUCAACGAUGACUGUGUUUACUUCACAGAAAGGUAGGUUUUGUGAGGACCCUUUAAAGAGUAGCAGGACUUAAAACAUGUAAGAAAGAAGCAAAGGCAAUCUAAACCACAAGAACAGAAUAAAGAAACAAUGGAAGAAAAGUAUUUUUCUCCUAAGGUACCACAGGGUCUAGAUGAAAAAGAGAAUGCAUGAUGGGGAGGUUAAGUGAGAACAGACUAUAGAGGACAGAUCUGAACUGGAAAUGAAAGGUAAACAGAAGCAAUUGUUAAUUUAAGAACAGAAAAAAGUUAUAAAAGCAGUACAUUAGAAAUAUUAGAAGGGUACUAGACAGCAAGAUAAACUGGAGAAAGAGUAAAAAUAGAAAUGAGGAAAUUAAGCAACUAGAGUGACAAUCCAAAUAAAAAGUGAGGAGCCAAGGAACUGGUAAUGUUAACAUACAUAGGUCAGAAAUCACGGCUGGGAGCGGUGGCUCAUGCUUGUAAUCCCAACACUUUGCGAGGCCAAAGCGGGCGGAUCACCUGAGGUUAGGAGUUCAAGAACAGCCUGGCCAACAUGGCGAAACCCCAUCUGUACUAAAAAUACAAAAAGUUAGCCGGGCAUGGUUGCGGGUGCCUGUAAUCCCAGCUACUCAGGAGGCUGAGACAUGAGAAUCACUUGAACCCGGGUGGCAGAGGUUGGCAGUGAGCCGGGAUCACGCCACUGUACUUCAGCUUGGGCGACACAGCGAGACUCUGUCGCAAUAAAAAAAAAAAAAAAGAAAUCACACAUUGGGUCCGGAAAGAUUUUUAAAAGAUAAUUCCCAAAGUAAAAUGCCAAAGAUAAGGAAGAUUUGAAGAGUUCAUCAAAAGGCAACAUUCCUAGACAGUUAUAUUUGCUUUCUAAAAUAAUUAAAAGUCAAAGGCAUUCUACAGAGUCUAAAAAGGAAGAAUCUAUCUGCUACUUAACUAUAUUCAAGUUGCUUAAACACCAAAAAAAAACUAAAAACUCUAGUUUUAGCUUAGCUAUAUUCAUGACUCAGCAUGUAGCUCUCUAAGUUGUCUCAUCACAUAAAAAACUACUGCAUUCCUUAAGUCAUUCAAUCCUUCUUCUGCAGAUACAGGCAAAACAGUCAUAUGAAUGAAUAUAUGAGUGGUGAUCAAACCAAAGCAGCAUGUAACAGUAAAAGCUUACUGAAAAAUAUAAGGUUCUGCUAAAAGGAAUCUAGAAACACACACACACACACACACACACACACACACACACACACACACACACACCCUAAGAAUAUUACUUUCAAAGCAGAAUCUAUUUUAGUGCCCUCAAAAUAACUAUUAUCUAUUCAUGACUUGAAACAAACAUUUUGGGCUUACUUUUUUUUGCAGCUGUUUUAAGUUUUCAAAAAGUUUACCUGAGAGACUAAAGCCUAUCACAUUUUAAGAGUGCAAGAAAUGGUUGUAUACAGUUUACAUAUGUAACCAAAGCCAGCUCCUUCCAAAUCACUGUGGUCUAAUGAACAACUUAAGCAUAGAAAAAGAAAUGUAGGCUGGGCAUGGUGGCUCAGGCCUAUAAUCCCAGCACUUUGGGAGGCAGAGGCAGGAGAACUGCUUGAGUCCAGGAGUUCAAGACCAGCCUGAGUAAUAUAGUGAGACCUCAUCUCUACAAAAGUAUUUUAAAAAUUAGGCAAGUGUGGUGGCAUGUGCCUGUAUUCUCAGGCACUCAGGAGGCUGAGGUGGGAGGAUCCCUUAAACCUGGGUGGCAGAGGUUGCAGCAAGCCAAGCACCACUGCACUCCAGACCAACAGAGCUAGACCCUGUCUCAAAAAAAAAAAAAAAAAUGAAGAAGAAAAAAAGAAAUGUAGGGUUAAAUAUGCAAAAGUAAUUAAAUAUGCAAAAGUAAUUAAAUACAGAUCUAGAAAUGUUCAAAAUUCUAGUGUAUCUGUGAGUCACAUACCAUUCUGGUAUGCAAUUGAUAUUGGUAUACAAUUAUAAAGGAGUUUAAAAUUAAAAAUUAAAAUACAGAAGCAGUUCUUGGUUCAGGUAAACCUUAUUCUUUAUUACUCCCUGAAACUAUGACUUCUCACUGUGCCCAAUAUAAAAGAUGCUUACCCACACAUACACCUUUAUUUACCUUUGUUCUGUUCAUAUAGUUUUCGGUCACCAGGCAUGGCAUCUCCUUCCUUCUAUCUAAAUUCAACACUAUUCAAACUUCCUUUCAAAUUCUGCUUCUUAUAGGGACAUGUAACCUUUUACAAUACACACUAAAUCUCUCCUUUCUCUGAGUAUCCACUUAAAGAAUAGCCAGUGCUCACCAUUUAUUACAAAUUGCUUUAUACUAUUACAUAAUUUCAUUAUUUUUUACCUCCCCAGAUAAUUUAUAAGCUUCCUAAAUGCAAGUUUUACUUACUAUUUCUCAUUUUUCCCUCACAAAAACCAGAAGGCUGGGUACACAAGUGCCUAACCCAUAUAUUUUUAAGCUAUUCAUUCUCUCAUUUUCAAAUCAAAUAUAUGACUAUGAUUUUAGAUUAAAUCACUUUCUAGCAAACUUCAAAGAGCAUGUAAACUUUUUUGCUGCAAUAAUUUGGAACUUGGUUUAAAACACAGAGUCAGAAAUCACUCCCACAACCCCCCAUCUUUUUUUUUGAGACAGGGUCUUACUCUGUCUCCCAGGCUGAAGUGCUGCAAUGGCACAAUUACGGCUCAUUACAGCCUCGCCCUUCUGGGCUCAAUUGAUUCUCCCACCUCAAUUUCCCAAGUAGCUGGGACUAUAGGUAUGCACCACCAUGCCCAGCUAAUUUUUCCAAUUCUUUUUUUUUUUUUAAGAGAUGGGGUUUCACCAUGUUGCCCAGGUUGGUCUUGACCUCCUGGUCUCAAGCAAUUUGCCUACCUCAGCCUCCCAAAGUGCUGAGACUACAGACAUAAGCCACCACACCCUGGCAGAAAUCACCUUUUUAAUAGGUAGGAAUUGGGAGAAAAAUCUGAACUAAUUUGUCCAAAGUGACAUAAGAGCCAUUGAAUUCAGUAUAGAAAAGGAAUUAUUUUCAUCUUUUGCUCUUUUCUUUUUCUGUUUGUCAUUUUGCUGCGACAGUGAUUUAGAAUAGGCAGAUUUUGAUUUGGAAUACAUGAGGGGAGGGAAGAAAAUCAAAAGAUGUACUGCUAUUUGCUGGGAGAACAUGUUAUCAUGUGAUCCAUUCUUACUCAGCUUCAGAAAAUAAUAUAAAUGGUUUAAUUUUUCUCUAGGUCUACACAGCACCUGCCUCCAUGAUUAGAAGUUACACUCCCUGGAUGUCCCCAUCUUACUAUAUGGCACUAAAAUUCAUACAGUUCCACAACCCAGAAAUCAAGACUCAUCCUUGAUUCCUCCAUCCCUUACUCCCCACAUUAAUCCAUAAGCAAGCCUGGUCAAUUCCAUCUCAAAACCAGAUCUUGGGCCGGGCGAGGUGGCUCACACCUGUAAUCCUAGCACUCUGCGAGGCUGAGGCAGGUGGAUCACCUGAGGUCGGGAGUUUGAGACCAGCCUGACCAACAUAGAGAAACCCCGCCACUACUAAAAACACAAAAUUAGCCAGAUAUGGUGGUGCAUGCCUGUAAUCCCGGCUACUCAGGAGGCUGAGGCAGGAGAAUCACUUGAACCCGGGAGGUGGAGGUUGCAGUCAGCCGAGAUCACACCAUUGCACUCCAGCCUGGGCAACAAAAGCAAAACUCCGUCUCGAAAAAAUAAAAACAAAAACAAAACCAACAGAUCUUGUAUUUCCCUUCCUCUCUUCCUAUCCACUGUCAUCAUCUUAGUCCAGGCCACCAUCAUUUCUAACAUGAAUGAAAACAUCCUCCUAACUGGCAUCCAUGCUUCCACCUUGUCCACCACCCUCCUCUGAGUCCAUCCUCCACACAGGAGCAAAUGUUCUUCUUAAAAUAAAACAUAUCACAAAGCUCCCCUGCUUAAAGCUCCUUGGUGGUUUCCCAAGUGUCCUACUCUGUUCUGGCUGCUGUAACAGAGUACCAUAGACUUAUUUCUCACAAUUCUGAAGCCUAGGAAGUCUAAGAUCAAGGCACUGGCGAUUUGGUGUCUGGGGAGGGCCUACUUCCUGGUUCACAGGUGGCCAUCUUCUCACUGUGUCCUCACAUGACAAAAUAGAGCCCUCUGGGGUCUCUUUUAUAAGGGUACUAAUUCCAUUCAUAAGGACUCUGCCCUUAUGACCUAAUCACCUCUUAAAAAGGCCCCACUUCCAAAUGCCAUCACACUGGAGAAUAGGUUUCAAUGUAUCAAUUUGAGUAUGGGGAAGGGGGACAUAAACAUUCAGCCUAUAGCAACAAGGCACUUAAAAUAAAAUUUAAUCUCUUUACAAAGGCCUGCAAGAAACAGCGGUAUCUGGUCUUGGGUCUUUUUCUUCAACUUCAUCUCACACCACUCUCCCCAUUGUACAUAUACUCCAACAAGCUGCCACAGAUUCUCAGCUCCUCAAAUAUUCUUCCUAUCCAUCCUAUCUCAGGCCUUUGCACCUGCUGUUCCCUACUUGAAAUGUGCUUUCUUCCAUUCUUCAAAAGGCUACAUCCUUCUCAUCUUUUAGGUCUCAGCUCAAAUGCCACCACCUCAGAAGGGCCCUUCCCUAUAAACCAUCCCUUCCUCAAAAAAAAAAAAAAAAAAAAAAUUCGCCACUUUAUCCUUUUCUAUUUCUUUUUUUGUAACACUUAAUAUCUCUGGCAAUAUUUUAUUUAUUUGCCCAUUUAUUUUCUAUCUGUCUCUACCACCGGAAUAUAAGUUGCGUAAGGGUGAGAACUACAUCUGUAAUGUCCUUUACUACAUCACCAGCAUGUGGGAUGCUGCCAGACUUGUAGCUAGCACCACAUCUACGUUCUAAGCAUUGGGAAUAUGGCAGUAAACCAAACAGACAAAAAUCCCUCCCCUCACGGAGGUAACAUUUUACUGAUUAUUUAGGUAAUAAACAAAGUAAGUAAAUUAUAAAGUAUAUUCAAAGGCAACAAUUGCUACAGAGAAAAAUAAAGCAAAGACAGAAAGGCAGAAUCAGAGUGUUGUAAUUUUACAUAUUAAGUCAGGGAGCCCUCGACUUGAAAAGGUCUUAUUGGAGUCAGUAUCUUAAAGAGCUGAGGAAGCCAACAAUCCAAGAAAACAAAAGUUAGUGACAUGACCCUGAGUGUGCAAUGUGCCUAACACAUUUGGGGAACAGCAAGAAAAUCAGUAUGACCACAACAGAAAGCAUUAGAGGGAAAGCUAGAAGAUGAGGUCAGAGAAGUAACAAGGGGACAGAAACAGGCCCUGAUAGAAACUGUAAAGGCUUUGGUUUUAUUCUGAAUCAGAGAGGAAGCUACUGGAGCAUUGUGGGCAGAGAAUUACCAUGAGUCGAAUUACUUCUAUCACUUGGGCUGCUAUGCUAAGAACAGAGUAUUCAGGAGGGAUUAAGAGUAAAGACAAAGACUACACAGUACAAUUAUCCAAGUAAGAGUUGAUGGUGGUUUGGCUGAGACAAUGAGGCAUGGUCAGAUUGAAUAUAUUUUGAAGCUAGCACCUACAAGAUAUCCUGAUAUGCUUUCUCUGAAAGAAAGAGACAUGUCAAGGAUAACUCUAGAAGUUCUGACAGCAUUGGAAAGAACUGAGUUGCUAUUCACCGAGAUAUAAAAGAUUGUUAAAGUAAUAGGAAAGUUUAUCAAAAGUUCCAUUUUAGGCAUGUAAUAUCUGAGAUGUCUAUUUGACAUCCAAGAGGAAAUGUGGACUGUGUGGCUGGAUAUAGAAUACAGAGGGCUAGGUGGAUGAUGAAAUUUGGGGAGUUAUCGGUGUGUGUAUAUGUACAUAUGUACUUUCAAGUACUUGGAGCAGGAUGAAAUCACCAGGGGGAAUAAACAAAAAGAGCAGUCCAAGGCCUGAGCCUCAAGAUUCUAUAACACAUCCAACAGAAAGAGAUUAAAAAGAACCAGCAAGUGAGACAGAAAAGAAAUGACCAAUAAGAGUUAAGGUAAAUCAAGAAUGUGGUAUCCUCAAAGCAAAAUGAAGAAAAUGUUUACUGGAUAAGGGAUUGAACAACUCUGUCAAGUAAGAAGAUGACUAACUAGACUUAAUGUGAAGAUCACUGGUACCAUGGAUUAGAACAGUUUCAGUGGAGUUUUAGAGGAGAAAGGCUGACAAGCUUGGAUGUAAGGCAAAAUGGGAAGAGAGGAAGUAGUGAUGCAGUGCAGACAACUCUUUCAAGGAGUUUUAAGAUAAAGGAGUUGUUUUGUUUUGUUUCAAUUUAUUUUUUGUUUUUUAAAGGUGGGAGGAAUUACAGUAUGACUGCACGCUUAUUAAAAUGAUCUAGUAAAAAUAAAAAAAUUGAUGAUAAAGGAUAGGAAAGAAAUGCAGCAGUGAAGUCCUUCAGGUUAGAACGGACGGAAUCUAGUGAACGAGCUGAAGAGGUGAACUUAGAAAGGAGCAAACAUGAUCCAUCUAUAGUAACUAGAGGGGAGGAUAAAUAAAGAUGCUAGCAGGUGCGCAGAUGUGACUGAGAGAGUUUGUGGAAUGAAAUGACGGCCUGCAGGCCAAAUCUGGCCUGCUGCCUGUUUUUGUAAAUUAAGUUUCACUGGAAUACAGCCACACUCACUCAUUUACAUAUUGCCUAUGGCUUCUUUUGUGUUACAAUAGUUGCACCAGAAACCAUAUGGCCCACAAAGCCUAAAAUAUUUACUAUCUGGCCAUUUACAGCAAAAGCUUGCCAACCUUGGUAUAAUGGAAUAAUCCAACUGCUACUCUCUGAGGGUCAGAUGCGAGGCUCUGAGGAAAGAAGGUAGGCAAGGACAUAGGAAACUACAGCAUUUAAUGAGACAAUGACACAACAAUAAAUUCUACAUCAUUCCUAGUUCUGGAGCCCAAAAUGAACGUUCUAUGAGCAAUCAAUCAUCACUUUAAGUCUGUUCCUUAUCUUUAAAAACAUUUUUUUUUAAAUAGAGAUGGGGUCUCACUAUGUUGCCCUGGCUAGUCUUGAACUCCUGGGCUCAAGCGAUCCUCCCAGCUCAGCUGCUCAAUGUGCUGGGACUACAGGCAUAAGCCAGCUCAUUAAAAAGCCACAUUAAAACGCCUUUAAAUGUUUUUACAUCUAUUGCUACAUUCGUUUCAAACUGGCUUUCUCACUAAGGAAUAGGGUAUGGCUUUGACUAUUACUAAGAGAUCUCUCAAAAAGGGAAAGGUUAUAUAUACAUAUUUAUAAAUCGGCAUUCCAAGUUAAUUGCUAUUUUUAAAAAAUCUUCAAGACAGAUGAAUAAAACAAAGGUUUUUGCCAAAAUGAGUAAUUUUACAGUAUUUCAUCACAUUUAAUUCACAUUUUAGCAUACAAAAAUGAAAUUAUAUGAAAAGAAAUAUACACAUUUUUUCAAAGAAAUCUCCAUCUUAGUAGAAAGGGCCAAAAUUUCUGCUUGGCUUUCCAAAUGCCUCAUACAUAGAUUUACCUAAAACAGUCACCUUAUUUUCCACUACCUCAUUUCCAAAGAACACAUACUGUUACAGUGAAACCAAUCUCCACUCCAACCUGGAUCAGCCUAUAAUCAUUUUUAACUCCAUCCUUUUUUCAGUUAUUCUCUGUGCCUAUCAAAGCCACAUUCAUAAGCAGAAAUACAUUUAAAGUUGUAUAUUCUUCAGGAAAUCUUCCUAAAUGGGCCAACCUGCUCACUUCCUUCCCAUCAAAAUUCACUUAAAAUACAACUGUGCAUUCAUUUAUCUGUUUUUUCUGUUGUGUUUGCUGUAUAUUAAUAUGAAUUCCUAACUAGAAGCACUUCCAAGACAAGGAAUUCUUCUUGUUCUUACAUUAUUACUUAGAUGCCAAGCACCACAGUCAUUAUUCUCAACACACGCUUAUUAAUCUGUGCACCAGAAAUAAAUAAAAAUAUGCUAUAUAUCCACCAUCCACUCAGUCUAGUACAUAUAAUCUUGCCUAUCCAGGCAGUUGCACAUACUUGUACAUAGUGGACACUCAAAAAAAUGUUUGUAGGUUGAGUGAAAGUAGAUUGAAUGCAUGCACAAAUGAUGAAUAAAUAAAGGGAACUCUUUAUAAGGUAUAGGAAAGUGGGGAACUACAGAAGGAUGUGAAUGAUCAAUCUGAAACUUUAGACCUUAAAUUCAUAAGGGCCAUAUAUUCAUCAGAACACUUUCUGCUGCAAUCCAAUUCAAACCAAUUUACACAAAAAAUUUUGGCACAAGGACUGAGAAGGACACCAGGAUAGUUCACAAAAUCAAAAGAAAAGUAGGUACCACUUACCAUGUUCCCUGAGAUUGAAACUGGCACUACCACCAUCCAUCUCCCAUCUCCUUAUGGCUUCACUUUCUCCCACUACACAGAUGCGCUUUUCAUACACGUGGUAAAGAAUGCCACCAGCACCUUCCCAGAUUAACAAUUUCAGAGAAAAGGUAGUAUCUUUGUCCUAGCAUUCAACCAUAAAUUUCAAAAAAAGGAUUCUGACUGGCUCUGCAUGAGUAACAGCAAUCACUGUUGCAAUAGGGAUGACCAAGCUCAGGUUAUAAGACAGUAAGACUGACGGACAGCCCACCAACCACUCAGAAUAGGGGAGGGGUGGUUCUCUAAUGAAGAGAUACUGAGUUGACAAAAACAAUAUAUGACAUGUCUUUUACCAGCCACAACCUUCAACAAACCAAUAUUAAUCAGGAAUUGACGAUAAGCUUACUACAUUUUGAAAUUAUCUGACUUUCCUCAUGAAAUGAGACCUAUGUGAAGCCCACUUAAUUUUCUGAAACUUCACAUCAUGUACCUUCAUUCUAAUAUUCUGACACUUGUUUCAUGCAGCCAUACCAGUCACAACUUUAAAUUUUUAGUCAGACUUUGCUCACAAGUUUUCAAGAUAAAUUAAUACAAAUCGUUUUGGUCAGUCAUCACACAGCAGUCUCCUAUUUACUUCACUACAACUACAGCUUUCAUUCUUCAUUACAUUACUUUUUCUGAGUAGUCUGGGUCAAAUAGUACAAACUGAAUAUUCCUUAACCAAAAUGCUUGGAAGUAGGCCGGGAGCAGUGGCUCACCCCUGUAAUCCCAGCACUUUGGGAGGCCAAAGCAGACAGAUCACUCAAGGUCAGGAGUUCUAGACCAGCCUGGCCAACAUGGCGAAGCCUCGUCUCCACUAAAAAUAAAAAAAAAAUUAGCCAGCCAUGGUGGCAUGCGCCUAUAGUCCCAGCUACUCGGGAGGCUGAGGCAGAAGAAUUGCUUGCACCUGGGAGGCAGAGGUUGUAGUGAGCCGAGAUCGCGCCACUGCACUCCAGCCUGGGUGGCAGAGUGAGACUCCGUCUCAAAAAAACAAAACAAAACAAAACAAAAAAGCUUGGAACCAGAAGUGUUUCAGAUUUCAGAUUUUUGUGGAUUUUGGAAUAUUUGCAUUACUUACUGGCUGAAUAUCCAAAAUCCAAAAUGUUCCAGUGAUGAUUGCCUUUGAGCUUCAUGUCAGCACUCAAAAAGUUUCAGAUUUUGGAGUAUUUUAGAUUUCAGGCUUUUAGAUUUGGGAUGCUCAACCUUUAGGAAAAUUCUUAGCAUUCAGAAUUACUUUAUCUCUUCAGGAAUAACACAGUACCCAUGUGAAUCUCGUGGUAGGAAGUCAAACAAAUAUUAUAUAGGAAAAAGUUACUUAAUGACAUAAACGAUAACGUGGUACCUCAACUCAGCUCUACUGCUCUCUACUCAAUGUACAUUAUUUUCUGACAAAAUAAAAAUUCAUGCCUUUGUAAAAAAAUGGCCCUGAACAGAAAUCCAUUUGCUGGUGAAGUUCAGGGAAGAACACGGUUAUUAUGAUAAUUAAAGCAAUACUGUAAGGUGGUAUAGUCUAUGUCAGCUAUUUCAGCAGUUACAUAAAUAAUCUUAUUCCUAAUUUACGGUCAUACUUAUGUGUAUACUUACUGCAUUUAGAGGAAUUUUAUGAUACUGUGGUAUCCAAGAAUCUUAGCAUUUCAAAGAUCCCAGGACCUAUCCAACACAAAGAGUAGGAGACAUCUGUGUUUUGAGGGUAGAAAAAACAUGUUUUUUUACAUGGGUACAAUAUUUUCCACUACAUUUCCAAAGCUUUCCUUAUAAUACCAUAGAUUUGUUGGCAUAUUUUUCCUCCUUUUUUGUCUACACCCAGACAUUCACAUGACUGUCUUCAAGAAACCAAUCAUAACACUAUAGUGAUUCCCAAGUCCCUUUCCUGAUUCAUAAUGAAGAUGCUAUUAGUCAUAAUAUAAACACAUAUCAGAUAAUUUUUCUUUAGGUACAUUGCUUUGCACUUACUAGACCAAAACCACAAUCUUCUGGCCAUUCAUAUAGCUUUGAAACAUCUAUCUACCACCUUUAUCUCCACUGUUCAUUACCCAGAAGACUUUAAUGCCACUUUUCUAUUCAGAAGGAUGAUAGUUAAAGUUAUAUUUGGAUUUCUAAUAAAAUGUUAAGUAAUAAACUAUGAAACCAAAAAUUACUUUUUUUGCUUAGAUUAAAAUGAAAACUCAUGUUUAAGUAUUUUAUUUUAGCCAAAAAAUAAAAUAAAACUAUAACUUAUAUAACUUAUGAAAACUCAUGUAUAUGUAAAACUACAGGUUGAGUGUCUCUUAUUUGAAAUGCUUGGGAACAGAAGGGUUUCAUUCUUUUUUUCUUUUUCUUUUUUAGGAUUUUAGAGUAUUUGCAUUAUACCAGUUGAGCAUCUCAAAUCCAAAAAUUCAAAAUCCAAAAUGUUCCAAAGAGCAUUUCCUUUGACCAUCAUGUCAGCACUCAAAAAAUUUUGCAUUCUGGAUUUUUGGAUUUGGGAUACUUAACCUAUAUUUUACUUUAUUUAGUCCAAUAUUAAAACAUACCAACUUACUACUUAAUAGACUAUAUACUCCAGUAUUUCAAUCUUUACCAUACCUCUUUCUUCAGGAACAAAAGGCACACAAUUUAACACUUGCACAAUGUCACAAUCAGGAACAGUGAUCAAAAGAAGAGAUGAUAUCUGGAAAUGAAGACCAAGAUUUUAAAACUUUUGACGACAAAAACUGUUCAAUUACACUUCACAUUCAACUUAGGUGUAUAAAGAAAUGUAAAAAAAAAAAAAAAAAACUAAGAAAAAACUUCUAUACACUUAAGCAUACAUCAUUGAUGACCAGUGAUAACAUGUCACAAAUUUGCAAAAGUCACAACCUAAAGCUUAGAAUCAAUCUAACUCAGUAUCUUCAUUUAUUACAAGAAAAAGAAAAUGAGCCUUGCCCAAAGUCACAAAACUAGAAAUAAUAUCUGGAUCCGGUUCCAAUUCAGUUAUCCUACCACCACAAUACUAACCCUUAAUACUCAUUUCUGGUAUCUAAUAUGCCAUGAAAACUGCUCACCAUGAGAAGCCAAUACCCCAUAUAGAACUGAAAUACUCACAGCCUACACACCUGGGACCAGAUAAUAAAUAAAAAUUUCAAGACGGUGUUAAAACCUUUUUGUUCUGCUAAUAGCACUUUGCCACAAAACCUUCAGUAGCAUACCUGAAGGAAUGUGGGCAAGAUUCAAGUCUCCUAUCAUUUAAAGAAAAAAAAAAAAAGUAGUAUUAAGUGCUCUAAAGUAUGCAAUGUCACAAUGCCUCAAUGAGAACAAUUCUAAACAACUAUAAACAGAAAAGUAAACAACAAAAAUACACUUAAAGGGCAUUUAAAGCAUAUCCUGAAGUCAAAUUAUAGAUCUAGGCUAAAGUAUAGUCCCUCUGUAAUAUUUCAAAAUAUAGAAACUUCUGGGAUUACAGCAUACUAUUACCAGAGAGACUAGAACAGAAUCCGAAGUGUGACCAUGGCAAAAAAUUGAAGCAUUUAAAAGUUCAUACAUUAUCAAUGCACACAGUGGGUGUUCAUUGUGGUUACUGUCUUUUGUCCUUCCAUAAAACCAGAUAUAAAACGUUUUAUUUGGUAAUUAUACUUAUUUUCACGCAACAAACAGGAAACAUUUGGUUGUGUAACAUACCUACAUUUUAUUCUCCCCUUUUGUUGGCAAUUUUCUGUAUCUAGGGAUGAUCUAAUUUACAGUUUCUAUGGCAAAAAUCAACAUCGUUUACUAUGCUUACCUUCCCCAGGAAAUCCCAACACCCUCAAAGUGUUAACAGAACGCAAUGUCUCUUUAUAAAUUUCAGAAAAGACAAUUUUGCUGAAAGAUAGUGAAUGCAUUUCUAUAAAUUUGCAGUUAAACUCAAAAAAUGUUAGGAAAUUUCACUGAAUCAAUUUAAAUGUUUUAAAUUAAACCUGAGGAUAUCAACCUUAGAGUACACUCAAAUCAGACCCCUUGCUGCAGAAAAAGCAAUUCAACAAUUACCAGUAACUAGAUCUAACAUGCACACUUUCAAGUUAAUAGAAUUCCUAUCCUGACAGUUUGGUGUCUUCAUGUUUUAUCACUGCGACAACUGUACAAAUUCCAACAUUCUUAUGAAUUCCUUGAACAUUGACUUAUUUUAUUUUUCUAGGGUUUUUUAGACGUUUGACAACAUACUCAACAAUGUUUGCACUAAAACAGCUCACAUACACUACUUGCUCUCAAAUUUAAACCUAAAAAGAAAACUGAGUCUUAACUGUUGUAUUCUGAACUUUAAAGCUACAUCUGUUUGAUCGGUCCACUUAAGAGUUAAAACAUUUUUCCUUAUAUACAUUUCGCUCUAUGUACUUUUCAAUUACCACAGCCACCUAGGAAGAGACUGUCUACUUGACAAAGAGGACACCAUGUAACGAAUAGAGUCAAAAUGAACCCUACAUGUGAGAAAGCCAGUUACAAAGAAAUCCAACUGCCACUGGGUGUGGUUAGGGUCUGCGGGGAAGAGCACCUUUGGCCAACUCUGGAGAAGAGCGAGCGCGUCAGGGAGCAGGGCAUCUCUGCAAGAAAUGGCCCCCAAUGACCAUACGCUGGGCCAGCAAUAGGGACGCCGUCGAGUCGGGCCUGCGAACCUAUAGCUCGAGGGGUGCGGUCUGCGGGGCGCCCUUGCUGUCUCCACCAACCACGAAACCCGCCGAGUGAGUGCUUCGAGCGCCGCGCGCCCAGCUUCGCCCCAAACACCGCGCCCGAUCCGCCCCUUCCUCCGGGGUUCGGCUGCCCCGCGGGGAGCGCGGAGGCACACCGUCUCCUACUCCCACCCAGCUCCUAGAAUGUAGGAGAGUGUAGAGUUCAAAAAGCCCGGAAGUAAAACAACCCCAGGUUAAGAAAGUAAGGGUAAGCUCUAGCAGUCGGCAAAAGCGCUCGGCAAAAAAACCCCGACUUCUCCAGAAAAACUUUGCGGCAAGUUAAGCGGAAGCGCUGAAUGGCCGGGACUAUUUAACUCGCGCUUCCUCUCACAAGAGGCGGAUCCCUGGACCUGUUUGGGGGACCCUGACGGUCCACAAACUCGCCGUUUGCCUGCUGGGUGGCCCUCUAGAAGUUCUGACAUCCUAAAAGGUCUGGGCAGUCCCGCUGACGGGGAAUACCUGUCGUAGUACCCAUUGCCUGCGAGUCCCUGAUGGCGGCCAUUACACUUCCAUCCGGGUAUUGCCGAAAAGCUGAUCGCAGCGCUACCGGGAGCGCACGCUGCGGCGGAGGGAUCUGCGCUUUACCUGAGACAAGCGGAAGAGAACGGAGGCCGGCAGGGUCCGCGCUCGGUCUGACGAGACUAGGCCAUGGAGCUGGGUUCGCCGCUGACCUCUCCAUCUAGCGCGCGGCCCCGGCGCCCACCAGUCCAGUGACCCACUACUACCUCUUUGCUCACCAGCAGCUGCUGAUCUUACUGCCGGUGAAAUGGCAGACAAACGUCUACUCUGUGCUCUUCAGAGUAGACACCAGGAGCAGGAACUGUAUGCACUUCCCAAGCCCUUGCUGACUGGGAAUGGUCUCCACCCUGAGAUUUUAACCAGUUCCGGUUUAGCAAAUGGCGCCUCCCCACCUCUGGCUUCUGGCACGCAGGUUUUAGCAACCAUUGUAGCCCACGUCAACGAAAGAAGCUGCCGCCAGUAGUUCUAGAAGACAUACUGAACUCCAAACCUGUAUAUAUUGAAUAAUUGAUCAAAAACUAUCUUCACAAUGAGGGAGGCUCACAUCUCCCUCAAACGAAUACUUCCUCUACCUGACAACAGGGCUGGACAGUUAAUAUGGUUGGCUUUACCCCAAAGGCCAGUGUGGCUCCUCUUCUGUUCUUUAUAAAUCCAACCUACUAAUUGAUACCUCACUUUCUACAUAAUUCUACAUAAAUUAUCUUCCUUUUAAAAUGUGGGGAGGGAAUAAGUGGCGGCAAACGUUUAAGCAACAACAAAAAACCUUGGCGCAGAAGGAUAUACCAAUAAAUUGAAAGUGAAACUAUGAUCAGAUUUUUCAUUUUUUAAUGUUCCGUGUUUUCUUAAGUAGCAUGUAUGACAUUUAUAAUUUUUAAAAAUUUUUUAAAAUAUGUGUAUGAUACAUAUUUUUCAUUGUCUUAGGGCAGGCUUUUGAAAAUGUCAGCCUGUAGCCAAAUGCAAGAUUUUCUCCAUCCUUUAAUAAAAAGCACACUGAGAAAUCCUCA